UACGUAGGGUGCAAGCGUUAAUAGGAAUUACUGGGCGUAAAGCGUGCGCAGGCGGUUUUGUAAGUCUGAUGUGAAAUCCCCGGGCUCAACCUGGGAAUUGCAUUGGAGACUGCAAGGCUAGAAUCUGGCAGAGGGGGGUAGAAUUCCACGUGUAGCAGUGAAAUGCGUAGAGAUGUGGAGGAACACCGAUGGCGAAGGCAGCCCCCUGGGUCAAGAUUGACGCUCAUGCACGAAAGCGUGGGGAGCAAACAGG
rnacentral:rRNA from 1 species